ensembl:lncRNA
AAAGAACAUGCAGUACUAGCAGUCAAAUAACAUGUAGUACUAGCAGUAACAGAACAUGUAGUACUAGUAGUAACAGAACAUGUAGUACUAGCAGAAACAGAACAUGUAGUACUAGCAGUAACAUAACAUAUAGUACUAGCAGAAAGAGAACAUGUAGUACUAGUAGCAACAUAACAUAUAGUACUAGCAGAAACAUAACAUAUAGUACUAGCAGAAACAUAACAUAUAGUACUAGUAGUAACAGAACAUGUAGUACUAGUAGCAACAUAACAUAACAUGCAGUACUAGCAGCAACAGUGGACGCAAAUAUUCUCCCCAACUGAAUAUUGGACAAGUUCAAAAUUCCAAGUCAAUCAAAUUGUUGACAGUUAUCCAAAGUAGAUGAAGAAAUGGACAAACAACAGGGGACGUGUCAGAACAUGUCUAAGGGAAUAUGGCUACAAGCAACGACAGCUCACGAGGGUAAAACCAGUAAAUGUGACAUCAAGACGGUAAAUGUAGUCACGGUAACGCAGGGCUGUGUAAAUGUAGUCACGGUAACGCAGGGCUGUGUAUAUGUAGUCACUGUAACGCAGGGCUGUGUAUAUGUAGUCACUGUAACGCAGGACUGUGUAUAUGUAGUCACUGUAACGCAGGACUGUGUAUAUCUAGUCACGGUAACGCGUGUGUCUCUGUGUGUGUGUGUAUUGUUCCUGGUUGUCCGAUUACUUCCUCAGUUCCUGCGGAGGCCCCUCCCCCAAAUGUAGUCCUCCAGACCCCAUAGCUCUACCAUGGCCUUGUCCAGAGUCGCCCUCUCGGACAGCUCAACCACCUGCACAACCAUAGAGGGAACAGAGAGAUGGUGUUAGCUGGAGGAACCUGUCUGUGCUUCUGCUUCGCUUGCUCUUUAGGUUUAGGCUGGGUAACUAUAGAGACCGUUAGGCUGGGUAACUAUAGAGACCUUUAGGCUGGGUAACUAUAGAGACCUUUAGGCUGGGUAACUACAGAGACCUUUGGGUUUAGGCUGGGUAACUAUAGAGACCUUUAGGUUUAGGCUGGGUAACUGUAGAGCUCUUUAGGUUUAGGCUGGGUAAAUGUAGAGCCCAUUAGGUUUAGGGUUAGGGUUAGGGUUAGGCUGGGUAACUAUAGAGACCUUUAGGUUUAGGCUGGGUAACUACAGAGACCUUUAGGUUUAGGCUGGGUAACUAUAGAGACCUUUAGGUUUAGGCUGGGUAACUACAGAGACCUUUAGGUUUAGGCUGGGUAACUAUAGAGACCUUUAGGUUUAGGCUGGGUAACUAUAGAGACCUUUAGGCUGGGUAACUACAGAGACCUUUAGGCUGGGUAACUAUAGAGACCUUUGGGUUUAGGCUGGGUAACUAUAGAGACCUUUAGGUUUAGGCUGGGUAACUAUAGAGACCUUUGGGUUUAGGCUGGGUAACUAUAGAGACCUUUAGGUUUAGGCUGGGUAACUAUAGAGACCUUUAGGUUUAGGCUGGGUAACUACAGAGACCUUUAGGCUGGGUAACUAUAGAGACCUUUAGGUUUAGGCUGGGUAACUAUAGAGACCUUUGGGUUUAGGCUGGGUAACUAUAGAGACCUUUGGGUUUAGGCUGGGUAACUAUAGAGACCUUUAGGUUUAGGCUGGGUGACUAUAGAGACCUUUGGGUUUAGGCUAGGUAACUAUAGAGACCUUUAGGCUGGGUAACUAUAGAGACCUUUAGGUUUAGGCUGGGUAACUAUAGAGACCUUUAGGUUUAGGCUGGGUAACUAUAGAGACCUUUAGGCUGGGUAGCUACAGAGACCUUUAGGUUUAGGCUGGGUAACUAUAGAGACCUUUAGGCUGGGUAACUACAGAGACCUUUGGGUUUAGGCUGGGUAACUACAGAGACCUUUAGGUUUAGGCUGGGUAACUAUAGAGACCUUUAGGUUUAGGCUGGGUAACUACAGAGACCUUUAGGUUUAGUCUGGGUAACUACAGAGACCUUUGGGUUUAGGCUGGGUAACUACAGAGACCUUUGGGUUUAGGCUGGGUAACUAUAGAGACCUUUAGGCUGGGUAACUAUAGAGACCUUUAGGUUUAGGCUGGGUAACUAUAGAGACCUGUAGGUUUAGGCUGGGUAACUAUAGAGACCUGUAGGUUUAGGCUGGGUAACUACAGAGACCUUUAGGUUUAGGCUGGGUAACUAUAGAGACCUGUAGGUUUAGGCUGGGUAACUACAGAGACCUUUAGGUUUAGUCUGGGUAACUAUAGAGACCUUUGUGACAAAAAUACUUCUGAUGUAAAAAAAACAAAAGGGCCUUCUAAAAUAAAAAUGGAUUGAUUGAGGAACCUAGAAACAAGCUAUUAAGGCCAGUCCAUGACACGUGCUUGCACAGUGUGUAGCUGUAACACACAGUGAUGUUCUCUGUAGCCCAUCUGGAGUGUUAUUGAUGUGUGAUCACUGGUGAUGAAGAGGUAACGUGGAACCACACCUUUUUACUGGCUGCCUUCAGUCUCUGCAGCUGCAGUAUGGCUGCAUCCUUCGACAGCAGCUCCACAUCUUCCUCUAUCUUAGACUGGGGAAAUAAAACACAAUAAGUUUUAAAAAGAUAUAUUAGGUUGUCGUUCAUUACCUCAUGCUGACCUGUCCCCGUGUGGUUGUUUAAUUGCGGUUGAAGCAUGUUUUAACGUCCUUUUGUGUUUGAUUGUCAGCGCCGUCCUGUGUUUACCUCAUUCACUGGCUUCCCAGCAGCUUCCUGGUUUAGCUUUUCACAGAUGUUUACCUGCAAUCAAUCAAUCAGCCAAUCAAACAAUCAGCCAAUCAAACAAUCAGCCAAUCAAACAAUCAGCCAAUCAAACAUUCGUAUCUAUUAAAAAAAAUGUUUUUCAAACUUGUACUUUGUCAGAUGUUGUCAUAAAUUGCUUUGACAGAUUUAGUGUGAGAGUCUUCUAAACAGACACUAGCUGGGUUACAGAGCAGUGUAACAUAAUCACUGAAACACAAAAAAAGGGGCCACAGGAAAUCCUGUCUGUGUUUGAGUCUCUACCGUCACAGAGAGGUGGUUCAUGCAAUUCACAUAGGAAGUGUCCCCCCAAAACAAAUGGCACCCUAUUUCAUAUAUAGUGCACUACUUUUAACCAGAGCCCUAUGGACCCUGGUCAAAAGUAGUGCACUAUGUAGGGAAUAGGGUGCCAUUUGGGAGGCAGUUCUAAUGUUUGAGACACUUACUGGGUGAACGCAUUCCUUCACUUCAUCCAGCAGGCCUCCGAGGUCAGGAUAAUUUCUGUCUUGUCUCUGGAGAACUUCCCGAUAAAAGUCCAGGAUUUUGAGCAGGACACAGCCGUGGUACUGGACAUGAGAGAGAACAGGAGACAUUGUGUUUUAGUAAAUGUGCUGCCGAGGUCGAGCACGAUGGACAUGGUGUCGAUGGAACUUCUUCAUUGCACUCAUUCGUCUCAGACUCAUGCAGGAUCCCAGAGCGCCAACAGAUCAAUCAAUCAAAUGUAUUUUUUAUGAAGCCCUUUACACAUCAGCAGAUGUCACACAAAGUGUUUUACAGAAACCGGGUGUAAAACCCCGAAGAGCAAAGCUAUGCAGA